rnacentral:rRNA from 1 species
UAUGUGAUCGUCUCUCGCAUAUCAAUAAGCGGAGGAAAAGAAACUAACAAGGAUUCCCUUAGUAACGGCGAGUGAAGCGGGAAGAGCUCAAAUUUGAAAUCUUCAAGGUUUUACCUUGACGAAUUGUAGUUUAAAGAAGUGUUUUCUGUUGAAGCUUUGGUAAAAGUUCUUUGGAAUAGGACAUCAUAGAGGGUGAGAAUCCCGUAUUUGACCAUUAUUUUCAGCUGUGUGAUACACUUUCAAAGAGUCGGAUUGUUUGGGAAUGCAGUCCAAAAUGGGUGGUAAAUUUCAUCUAAAGCUAAAUAUUGGCGAGAGACCGAUAGCGAACAAGUACCGUGAGGGAAAGAUGAAAAGAACUUUGAAAAGAGAGUUAAACAGUACGUGAAAUUGUCAAAAGGGAAGCGUUUGACACCAGUGUUGUUUUCUCGAAAAUCAAUUAAAAAGAGUUAGAUUUUGUUGUGUAUUGACCUUAACAGCUUGCAUUUCAAUUUUCUUGCUUUUUUUAAUGCACUUUUCGUUUAACAAGUCAACAUCAGUUUCUUUUGUUGUAAAAAGGUCAUUGGAAGGUGGCUUUCUUUUCGGAGAAAGUGUUUAUAGCCUUUGACUCCUGCAAUCGGAGAGACUGAGGUCUGCAGCGUAGAUCCUUCGGGGUUAGAUACAUUUGUGCUAAGUUAUAGCUUUUUAUAGACAACUUGUUGACUAUGAUUAGUCUUGUAGCUUACUCGCUUAUGCUAUUUUACCUACGCUUAGGAUGUUGAAGAUGUAGCACAUCAU